rnacentral:lncRNA from 1 species
CUAAUCUCAAUUCCAAAGGAGGGGAAUGGAGAUACCUAAAAGAAAAAGCUACUGCCGCCGCAAACCCCCAAAGAAAUCCACCACGUCUUCUCCUCCAUUCCCCCACCCCACUGCCUUUCCACAUUAAUAUAUUUCUACUAAGACUUCUUAGUAGGAUUCCUUUUCUUACCAAAAUCAAGUCUUUCAAAGUCAUCCAACAGAUUUGAAUAAAAUUCAUUACUUGGGUUGUUUUAUUAUCGAAAAAAAAUCAUCAAAGAUCCAAAUUGUGAGCUCAAAAGGCAAAACGGUUGAAGAAUUUGGAUUUGGGGGCUUAACAACAAUACAUGACUCGCUAUGGGAGUCGAGUUUGGGGCACGUACGGUCACCAUUGACAGACGGCCAAUUAAACUCCAAUUUUGAGACACACUGUUCGAAGAGAUGCUACCGAGGUUGAGCUCCGUCCAUUAGCUUCACACAUGUUUCUCUAUUUUUUUCAUUGGGUUUUGAGAUUUACAAUUGUAUCAGUUGGUUUAUUUGGGACUUCUUCUCAAUACAUUGGAAAAGUUUCAUUGCUCAAGGUCCGAUUCUUUCUUUCCUUUGCUAUUCUAUUUUAUUUCUCUAUGGUUCAAACAUUUUAUAUCCAUAUUAUUGAUGCUUUAUUACUUCACUUUUUAUGUGUAUUUACCUUUAAAUUCUUAAUAUUUUCCGUCAUAGUGGGUUUCAUGAGAUAUUGGUACUAAUAUUUGUAACUGACUUGUUAAAUUGAUGAACCAAGCGUUUUUGGCACUUUUCUGCUGGGAAGUUUAUUGGAUGUAACUUUUAAAAGCUUGCUUUUGUUUGGUGUUAGCUACGUGAAAUAUUUCAAAUAGGGUCAUGUUAAUUCUUAGUUUAAUUAGGUGAUUGAUACAACUGUUUGGUUAGUAUAUUAGUUGUUUCUUUAAUAUUGACUGUAAGUUCUUUUAGCUACAGUAGAAAUGAAUCUUAAUGUUGAGAACAGAAUGUUAAGUUAUAUUUAGUGACUUAUUAAUAAUAACUAAAAUCGUACACUUUUUUGCAAAAUAAUUCCAUAAUUGAUGACUUUGCGAUAAUUCGAAACUUAGGAAAAUAAUCAAGAACAUCAUAGUCUGCUUUAGACACGAUUAAUAAUUAUCGUGGCCAUGGGUACGGUUCCCGUGGCAUGGUCAUGAUACAUAAAUCCAAAUUCGGGUGUGCAUUUCAUGUGACCCGACCAUAACCUCGAACAAUAGUAAAAAUAAACACGUUGUACAUCGCGGGUGCAUUUCAUGUGACGUGGUUUGCAAUGUGUACCAAAACGACAAGUGUACGACAAUUGUGCCUUGUUCCAGAAAUAACUCCAUAAAUAAUUAAAAGCGGUUUUAAAGUUAAAAAUGCACCUAGGUUUAAAAUGUGUAAUUAAUUAGAUAAUUAAGCCGGAUAUAACAGUUGAGAGACCGUGCUAGAACCACGGAACCCAGGAAUGCCUAACACCUUCUCCCGGGUUAACAAAAUUCCUUACCCGGAUUCCUGUGUUUGUGGACUGUAAUACAUAGUCAAGCUUUUCCUCGAUUCGGGAUUCAACCGGUGACUUGGGACACCAUAAAUCUCCCAAGUGGCGACUCUGAAUUUAAUAAAUAAAUCCCGUUUCGAUUGUCCUUUAAUUGGAAAAACUCCCUAUAUAUACUUCCUUUUACGGGGGUGUAGGUAAAAAGGGAGGUGUGACAAUGCAUGCACAAUUUUAAAUAGAGUAAGGUUUCAAUGGGGUUUAGACUGGUACCUUCAAGUGGACAACUCGAGAGGGAUGGAACUGUCACGCCCCGACCUCGAGAGGUGCGACCGGCGCUCAAUCGAGUGAACCCAACUGAGCAAGCCUUAUCAAACACUACUCAUCCAACUCAAUAUGAAUAAGGAAACCAUGCAUUCAUUUAUUUAGACCAGGAAAGAUAGUACAUUCAACAUUUUAGUUCAUUUUAUAUCACAACAUUAAAUCAUAGUUAAGUGUCCAAGAUUCCAUACAGCUAUAGUUUAAAAGAAUGCAAGAGUACAAGGUUGCAACAUGGUUCAUUGACCUAUCCAAUACCUGUACAUAACCCACACAAACGUCUACGGAGCCUCUAAGGAUACAAAAGAUAGUGAUGACAAUGCCAGCAACAAAGCCCCGGCUAUACCUCAAAAUGGAUAGUUAUAACAAAAGGUGUACAACAUGACCCUUUGAAGGAGGAAGGGCUCACCAAGAUUUUGAGAAAAGAAUGCACUGCUACACACGAUCGGCACUAUCCCCUAUGGAGCCACCUACAUUCAUUUAAAAAUGUAGCGCCCCGGCAAAAGGGACGUUAGUACCAUGAAGUACUAGUAUGUAUAACUAAACACCAUCUAGUUAGAAAGAACUAUACAAGAACAAGAAUUCAAAAAUAUAACUCAAAACUUCAAACGAUCACCACAUUAUCAAUCAAAAGAAUCGUGCAACUUCCACAUCAUUUUCCUUAGCUUUUUAGUUUGGGGCAUUCCAUACUACUCAUCAUUAGUUCACAAUACCAUCGCUAUCUUGAGAGGAGUCCGAUCUCGACCCGAUCGGCUAGGUCGCCUUAUUUGGGACAUAUACUUCAAUUAUAAUCUCAUUUUCCUUCUUUUCCGGAAUUUAUUCACAAUACCACCGCUAUCUUGAGCGGAGUCCGAUCUCGGCCCGAUCGGCUAGGCCGCCUUUCCAAGGCAUUGCUCCCAUUGCAUUAAUCACUUCGUUUCACAUAUAUCAUUUCAUAGGCACUUGGGGCCACAACUUAUCACAUUAUCCUUGGCACUAGGCCACAUUUUAUUACAUCAUUCCCAUAUUCAACAUUAGCUUUGCCACUUAGAAAAGUAGGUGCACACAAGAGCAGUUUAAAUCAUAAGCAUAGAUAACACUUCACGUAGAUGGCACAACAAUGCAACUUCAAUCGAAAUUUAAGGUCUAAGCAUUCAAUACAUGAUUCAUAUUCCAUAAUUCACGUUUCACAUUGUUCACAUUUUCAAUAUUUACUUUGCCACUUAAGAUCAUAGGCGCAUACGAAGGCAAUUUAAAUCAUAAGCAUAGAGAAGAAUUCGUCAAGUUUGGCAUAUUAGUUCCAAAGUAACCUUGGCAUGACAUUUAGGCAUUAGCGCAUAGACCAUGUUCUCCACACAUCCUUCAUAUACAAAGAAUAACAUAUUAAACACAGGAAGAAGUACCUACCACGUACAUUUUCACAAUAAUAAUCCACCCUUAAUCUUACCGCAUUAACACAAACACCAACGUAGCUCAAUUUCUNNNNNNNNNNNNUUUAAGCAAUAUAGCACAAUUUAACUCAUAAUCAAGAAAAGAACAUAAUCUAAGCUCUCUUGAGCAUUUUACCGAGCAAUUAGUGUUCAUUAAGGCCUUAUGGUUCUUAAUAUGCAAGAUUACACUAGCCCAUUACCCAUGCCUCCUCUUUUAUAAUUCCCCAUACUCAUCAAGAACACAUGCAUGCAAUGCAAACCCCCUUACCCCAAUGAAUUACCUCACUAAUGACCCUUUAUAGCUAUGUGUAAACAUGAGAGCUGAGGCGAUGAAGCCUUACCUCUUGGGAUGAGGGUUUAGGUCCCUCACUUGAUUAUCUUCAAUAUUUUAACAAGGAUUUUUGGAUCAAUAUUGAUGAAAGUUACUUCCCCUCUCUAAGACCCCCUCUCUCUCUAAAAGCAUCAGGAAAAUAGGCUCAAAAUGAGCUAUUACACUAUAUAUAAUGAUAGGAGGUCGGGUUUAAAAUUUAGAAAAUUGGAGCCCCGAGUCAGAUCUGCGAUCGCAAAGCUAACAUGUGGCCCGCACAAUGGACCACAAAAAUGCUCCCCAAAACAUGAACACACUGUCUGGGUAUGCGGUAGAAAUGUCGUCUGCAUACCCGUUCUGAGGUCGCAUAAUGCACCGCAGAACUGCCCCUUACAAAAUCCCAAGGGAAAUAUGCGAUGACUAUGCGGUCCUCAUAUUAGUUAUGCGAUCGCAUAGUUGACCUCAAAUUUUACCAACACACUGACUCAUUUUCCGGCGACUAUGCGGUCCGCAUACCUGAUAUGCGACCGCAUUCUCGACCGCAGAAUCGCACUUUUUUAGAAAACAUUAUUUCUUGACUUUUUAGAGCAUAGAUCAGUCCAAAAAGGUCCGAACCGCGGCUCGCAAUCUCGCCGCAAAGAAUUUUAUGAAUUUCUAAUACAUAUUCCUAACUUAGCACCACGAGAUUCGGGUUUUUCAGCAAAAAUCUUCACGGGGCCUUACAGGAACCGUCGACUGCACCGUUGAUCGACUGGUUUUACCGCAAAUAAGACUUUCCGAAUUUAAGGGUAGUAAAUAGGAAGAGUGCAACCACUCAUUAAAGUUUUGCUAUAGGAUUUGAGACGCACGAGUGGAAUAUGAUGCGGAGCAUGAUUUAUGCAGCAAUUAAUAACAUGUAGUCAAGUAUUUUCACAUAGGAAAAAUAAAUACAGUAUUUAAAUACUUGAAGGACAAUUACAGGAAAAAAAAAGAAAAUAAAGAGACAAGUCAGUUUCAGGGCAAUAAAGAAAUCAUAAAUACUUGAAAAAUAGACAGUUAAAUCCAAAUAAAGAGGCAGGGUACGGGAUAAGCAUGCUUGGACUAAUUUGUAAAAGACAAGUUCAUUAUGGUAAAAGCCUAAAAAUAUCCCAAGUAGAGUCGCCAUGUUGUCGCGCCCCUAUUUUCCCUCCCCUUUUUGAGACGGGAAGAAGUCCGGGUUUCGACAUUCACGGGGUGUAAUGACUCAUUUCCUUUUGGAAAUUGGGUAUUUUAAGAGUCGCCACCUAAUAGAUUAUGGUGCGUUAGGGCACCUAGAGCGAUUAACUCUUGGGUUGGUUUGCAUUACCAGAGAUUAGGGUAAGGGCUCGAAAUAACCUCGAGGGGAAGGUGUUAGGCACCCCUAUUGGUCCACAAUUGUGGGUCUCGACCAAACUUAUAUUCACAAAUUAGUCCAUAUAAACAGUUGAAUUAAACAAGUUGCAAGUAAAGCACGUGCGAUAAUUCAAGUAGUAAGAUAAAGGUUUGAACAAGUUGUAAAACAAAGAUUUCAAUCAAAGAAAUGAUUUAGUAAAGAGGGGUCCUAGGUUGGUUAUCCUAUAAAGGAUUUAGUAAAGAGGGGUCCUAGGUUGGUUAUCCUAUAGGGUCACCCCACUCAAUGUUCGGUAAACACUCCUCAAUAAGGGGAUACACGUGACAUUAAUGCGUAGUCAUCAUAUCCCAUGUCUACCCUUCCCAUCCCCUUAUUGGUCAUGCAAAGCGAGUAUUUGAUCAAUGAUUCCUAUUACAUGUUGCUACCCGUCCCUUCUUAAUGGUCCUGGAGGGAGUUAGGACCACUACCUAUAGGUGGUUCUAGAUGAACCCCUAAGGUUUUAAAAGGAAAAAAUUCUAAGGCGAUAGUCAAAAGCAUUUAGGACUUUCACACAUAAUGAGAACAAUUAAGAGGCUCAAAGUUUCCUCCUCAAACAAACACACAAGCAACACGACUCAAGCACAGUUAAGGUAUUUUAUUAAACAAUGUCCUAAAGCAGGAUAUCUAAGUGAAUAUGCAGAAAUAGACAACCUUUUUUUUACUUAGAAGUUACAACCUAGUGGUUGCCUAGGGACUCUUUUGAAAGCAUGUAAGGAUCAGAAACGUUAAGCGACAAGGAUAGUUUAAGAGAAAUGCAAUUUUGAAAAUGCCCUAAAGGCUUGCCUAUAUGCAAAAUACUAGUUUCUAUGCAUAAACAAAUAGAUUUUGAACUAGACUUCUUCAAUACCUAUAGGCAUGAUAUCUAAUGAGAUUGAGGUAGUUUUGAAAGAACAUGUUUUAGCAAAUGCUUAAUGCUUAAUAAGACCAAUUUAAUAAUGAACUAGGCACAAUGAAGUUGAUUUAUUUGACUAAGUUAAAUUAACAGACAGAAUUGUGAGUAGGGCUUCCUAUAGGGAUGAUAUCUAGGCGGAUUACAGAUUUUAAGACACCAUUGUUUAGGACCCUAUGUGCAUAGUUUCUAAACAUGACAAAAUGUAAAACCUUAUAAGCAUGGUUUCUACUUGAUAAGUAAACAAGCUUUAAAAGUAAAGCCUUAUAGACAUGAUUUCUAUUAGGCAAAGCAAACAUAUUAAAGAGUAAAGUCCUAUGAGCAUGUUUUCUACUUAGGCAAAUAAUCAGACUUUAAAAUUAAGGUUAUAAGAGCAGGAUUUCUACCCGUAUUACCCCAGAAAGUAUGCAUCUACCCACCCUUUUACUAAAUACCCCAAUAUCUGUUUACAAAUUAUUACAGGCCAAUGAAUAAAUUACAUAAGUAAAAAUAGAAAAUCAAGAAGCUAUUCUAUAGGGAGCCUUCAAUUAGGCUCAAGUUCCAUAGCCUCCAAUGGUCUCACAAGCCUCAAUUCCAUAAACAAAUCAGAGUCUAGGUGCAUCAAAGUUCCCUAAGGAUCUCAAGGAUCCCGGGCAGUGCUUACACCUAGACUUAGUAACCAAAGAUUGAACAAGUGCAGUGUGGAAAGGCCAGCCUUAGUAUGCCAGAGUUCAGAGGGUUCUCAAAAGGUUCCCAAGGCAGUACACAUACUAGAGGGGGCAGAACUUAUUGACUAAGAGUAGAGUGAGAAGUUAUGGACACAAGUUGAAAAGGUUUUAGAAGAAACUGCAUUUUUGAAAAUAAUGUAGUAAAACAAUCAGAGACUUGUUUGAAGAGAUGAACAGAAGUUAAAAUACCUUAGGACAGGUUUACACAUAGCUGGUUCAUAAAACUAAGUAAAUUCAAUAAUCACACACAGGGGUCAAGGGGUUUGGGACACAUAGAGCAGUUGACUACAAACACAUAACCCAACAAGGGUCUAGGACUGGUUUAAUCAUGCUCAAAAAUAGCUGACACUGGCAUAGUCACAAAACAAGUCCGGAAAGAUACAACAAUAUAGAGGGGUGAUAGGGAUUUACGAAUUCAUGGUAUAUAGGAUAGUAAGUACACAACAAGUAGGAGAUAAGACAUGCUCAGAAACACACAUAAAGGGGGAAUACACUGACCUAAAGGAAGGGGAAGACAUAAUAUCAUGCUGAUAAUGUACUCUUAACUACAAAUUUCACAACAGAAACACAAAUAGAAGCAAACUAGAAACAAGAGAAACUGAAACAAUAAGAGAAUCAUGUUGUUGUUGGAAUUUUGAAUUGAAACUAGGACAUACCAAUUAAGAGGAGAGUAAGCAGAAUGAAAAGAACAAGAGAGAGCACAAAUGAUUAGCCUUAGCUUGUAGCCGGCUAACAGUAGCAAAUAGCAUAAUAGAGAGCAGAGAUUUUUAGUAUGAGAGAUAGUUUUAGACCCAAGUGUUCGUCUCUUGUGUUAAUGAAAGACUAGAGUUUUUAUAGUUGAAAACACGUAGUAAAAUAAGGUAAGAAUCAUAGUAGUAUGGUAAUUAAGGAACUCAAAAUCAGUUAGUCAGAAAAUCAAGGUCAGUACUCCCUUAAGUUAAGGGAAUUAAUUCAAACGGUAAGAACCAGUAGCAUAUAAGGCAAGAGAAAAUCAGUACAUGACUAGUAAGGAAAGAGUCAAGGUUCACUAAGCAUCGGGUGGCCAAUUAGGCCUAGGUUCAGCAAACUUCAAUUAAGGAAACUUCAAUUAAGUCAGAAUAAAAUACCACAGCAAAUAAGGUAGGGAAUCAGUCAAUUUAAACAAAUGAGGUAAAAUUUUGGGGUUUCAAAAGAAAUCAUUCAAUGAAACCAUCAGUUAAGAAAAUCAGAAUCAAUCAAGAGGGAGUCAUGAUUCUAUACCUCAACAUAUAAAUAGAGAAGGACAAACAGUCGUGCAAACAAGCAAGGUCAGAAAUAUUUACAGAAAGAGGCAAGAGAUAAACAAAUCAAGAUGAAUAUAUUCACAGAGGUGAUACAAGUAGACCAAGGACUCAAUAAAACCCAUUCGAAGCAUUUUAACCAACAAAAACUUAACAAGAGUUGAGUAGUCAUGCUAACACACAGCAUCAAAACAAAGAAGAUCUAAAAAUUAGGACUUUUAACAUAGGCGAGUUAAAAAGCAGUAAUAACAUAGAAUCAGUCAAGAUAUGCGAGGAAAAAGGUUUAAACAUAAAGAGAAAUCAGUUUAAACAAGUGUAGAAGAAACUUUGAGAAACCCUAACUUUAAAGAAAGUAAAAACAGCUUAAAGUUGAUGAUUUUACAAAAGAAGUUUGAGAAUAGUGUAAAACUUAGAAAGAAACAGACUUAAAUCGUUAAAAGGAACACAUAUAUGAGAGAUACAAACGAAAGUUUGGGUUUCAAAACAAACCCAAAUAGAAACGGAAGAACCUUCUAUAAACUUCAAAGAUCGUAACAUAUAUGGUGUGAUUUUGCCCAAAAUCACACCGGAGAGGCCAUGAACAACCAAACUAGAAACCCUAGAUAUAAAUCGUCAUGGACCAGGGCCCUUGAUGGCCUCAGAGAUGAUGAGCAAGGCGAUGGGCUUGGGGUUGAAAGGUGGUCGCAGGAGAUGACCGGAGAAGGAGGCAGCGAUUGAAGGGGAUUAGGGUUAGGUUGAGAGAAGAGAGGAGAUGAGAGCGUUUGAGGGCGGUGGAAUCUCAGAAAUGAGAUAGGGUUAGUGGUCUUUAGGAUUAAAAAAGGAAAGAGCUCGUUUAGACCGCCCUAGAUCAACGGUCAGGAUUUGACCGGGUAUAUGCAUUCCGGGUUUGGGUAGGAGUUUAUAAGGUCUGGGUCGGGUUAAUUGGGUAGGAAAUUGGGCUGGGGUUGGGUUAAAAUUAGGCUAGAAUUGAAAGCCAAAUUUGACUAUGAUUUAAAUAGCCACUUUUCCCUAUUUUAAUUUAUAAUAAAUAAUAAAUAGUUUUCUGAAAAUAAUUCUUCUAUACCAAUAUGAUUUAAAAUAUAUAAUUAUCAUUUUAAAUAUAUAGGGACCAAUUUCACGCCUAUAAUAUAUAAUUAUACAUUAAAAUGGGCUAACAUUGCAAUUAUAUGCAAUUUAGCUUAAAAAAAAUACUAAAUGUAAUUAUCAAAAUGCAUGAAAAACAUAUUUGUCAUAUUUUGGCAUAAGUAUAGAAAUUAAAUGAAUAAAUCUUCCUAACAAUAAUUUUGAAAAUAAUUAUUGGGGAUUUUAUGAAUAAAAAGGAGGAAAAUAAAUCAAUUUAAACCCUUAAAAUUAUGAAACAAUUAUAAAAACAUUGUGCAUGCAUAUAUAUAUAUAUAUAUAUAUAUAUAUAUAUAUAUAUAUANNNNNNNNNNNNNNNNNNNNNNNNNGAUUUAAAUGAGUUUAAAGUUAUAAUAUGACUAUAUAUGAUGUUUGGAUAUAAUAUUUAAAGUUUGAAAAAAAAUCGGAUUUAGGUUGCGGAAAAACUAACUAAGGAUUUGCCUUGUAACGAAGCUUUUUGAGCAAUAUAUUUCAUGUGCUAUAUGAGGUAUUCUUGGGACAUAUUACAUACCAAAUUGAAGGUCUGGCAAUUUAGUUUCCAAAUCUCUGAAUCAUUCAUUCAUACAAUAUACGGAUAGAAAGAUAUAAGUGUCGGAAGAAGAGCCAAUGCUAGGGUGUCAAGCUAGCACCUCUUUGACUUUUCAAAAGUGGAUACAUAUAUCCCUUAUGUCAUCUCUUUCUUCAUUAUUCCCCAGACCACGACCAAAAUAAGACCAUAAACUUACCCUUAAGCUCUUUACAAGGGUUUCAACAAAGAUUAACAUCUCGGGUACAAAAUCGAGAAGCGGUAACACUAGAACGAUCCCUACGAUGUAAGUAUCAUUAUACCGCCUCUCUUUUUCUUUGUAGUUAGUUUUGGAAGGUACUUAAGAGUUUAAAAAAUGCUUAAUUUCUGUAUUUAAGUUUUUAAAUAUCAAGUAAGGUUGAUAAAUUUGUUUCCUAAUAGUUAGAACUCACGGGACGAUGAUUGGAAGCCGUGAGUUGAUUUAUUCCACUUUUAGUUGACUAUUUUGUAGUCCAUUCGUAUUGGCUUAUUUUGCUAAUGAUUUAUGGAGUUUGGAAGGAUGAAAGGUCGUGGAGAAAUGCCACAUGUGGUAGGUAAUGGGCUGGUCGCUAAACGUUGCACUUUCAUAACUUGAUGAUUGGAUAUGUUAUGGUAUAUUUGGUGUUAUUGAAGGUCAUGAAUUGUAGUUGGGUUGUUUUUGAGGUGCUGAUUGUAUUGUGUUGGUAUAUCGCCUAUAGUAGGCUUGAGGGAGCAGUAAAAUCAGGGGAAAUGCUGCCCGUUUUAUUUUAGAAUCGAGUUAUCGUCUGAGAUACAUGAUAUACUAGCGUCAUCUAAGUUGUACAUGUAUUUCUUUGUUAUAGGGUUGGCGCGCUAGUUGUUAUGAGCUUGUUGUUGAGUUGCACUGACGCCUCGAGUUAUGCUAUGGCUAUCCCUUCUUUCCUUUUGGAACGAUCCAUAUAAUACAAUGAAACGAGCAAGCAUGCAACUUUCACAAAUGAUUCUAUUCUUAGAAGAACUAGGGUUACCUAUGUUCUUGAUUCCCCAUAUGUCCUACUAUCAUAUCAUCUGUUCAUGGGUCUCAUGACAUCCCGAGAGAUCUUAUUGACUUACUUAUAGUAUAUGUAUAUGGGGUGUGGAGAAAGGUUAUGGCAUUAUAUAUGCAACACCACUUGAUCAGCUGGCAUACGUUGAUGAUCCCUGAGGCUGAGAUGAUAUGAUGGGUUGACAUUAGAGGCCUGAUGAUGUUAUGUACGCAUAUACCUAUCCAUGAUAUGAUAUUUAUACGCAUAUGCAUGACAUUAUAAGUGUUUUAUGAUUCACAGAGCUAUUCAGACUUACAGGUUGAGUCCUUUACUCCACGUUUCUUUCAUGACUUUUAUAUACCUUUUUUUAUGACUUACAUACUCGAUACAUUAUUCUCACUGACACCCCUAUUACCUGGGGUCCUGCGUUUCAUGCCCAAAUGUGCAGGUAGACAGGCUGAUGGUCCCCCUUCUUAGGAUCCUGGCUCAGCGAGAGUUGGUUCACUCUACUUGAUCUGGAGCUAUUGUUGGGUUUUGGUACGAUACUUUUGUAUACAUAUAUGGGUAUGAUGGGGCCCAAUCCAUCAUUUAUGUAGUUGUACACUUUAUUAGAGGUCUGUAAACAGUCAUGUAUAGUUGGAUAGCAUAUGGCCUUGUCGGCUCGCCCUAUCGUAUUCCGUAUAUAUAUGUAUAUAUGUCUUUGGGGCAUGUUUUCCUGCAUAUGUUAUUCACAUGAAUUGGUAGUUUAUUGCCAGAAUUUAUGCAUGACCUACACUUAUUUCAUGUUUAUAUCUUAGAAGUAUGCUUAGGGGUAUUUGACAGGUAGAACUGGGGCACUCGUCACGGCCCAUCAAUUUAGGUCAUGACAAAAGUGGUAUUAAAGCAGUUCCAUCCUAGGCUUGUCUACAGACCGUGUCUAGUAUAGUCUUGUUUAUGAGUGUCUUGUGCAUCACACUUAUAAAUAGAAGGUUACAAGACAUAUAGGAUGCUAUCCUCCCUUCUUAACUUCGAUUAUGCGAUAUAAGGAUUCAUUUUCCUAACGAUAUGUUAUGUUUUUAGUGAUGCCCAAGAAGGCUACAGCCGCCAAGAAGGGCAAUACUAUGGCUGAUGAGACUAC